rnacentral:rRNA from 1 species
UACGUAGGGUCCGAGCGUUGUCCGGAAUUACUGGGCGUAAAGCGCACGUAGGCGGGUCGUUAAGUCGGGGGUGAAAUCCUGGAGCUCAACUCCAGAACUACCUUCGAAACUGGCGAUCUUGAGUUCGGGAGAGGUGAGUGGAACUGCGAGUGUAGAGGUGAAAUUCGUAGAUAUUCGCAAGAACACCAGUGGCGAAGGCGGCUCACUGGCCCGAUACUGACGCUGAGGUGCGAAAGCGUGGGGAGCAAACAGG